UUUUUUUUUUUUUUUUUUUUUUUUUUUUUUUUUUUUUUUUUUUUUU
rnacentral:ribozyme from 1 species